GCAGAUCUCCAAACCAAGAUAAGCCUGCCAACCAGUACAGAAAAGGAAAAAAGAAAAGUUCAUCCACUCCUUCUUGAUGGCUCAUGGCUUUCAGUAGUGCUGGUUUUCACUGGUAUUGGUUUAUUUCUGUCUGGACUCAUAGGAUUCGUCUGUCUGUGCCGCUUUAGCAGUUCUGUUGAUGUUCUCACAGAGGUGAACUACGUCUCCUGCCAGAUGGACACUACAUCUCUUUUAACUUGAUCUGUGUGUUCCGCAAAACAUGGAUGACCUUUUUACUUUCUUCACUUGUUGCCUCUGAAGAACAAAAAUGUGUACAGAAAGAUAAUACAGCAUAAAUAAACUGAAUUCAUAUUCUGAUCAGCAGGCCAGACAGAAUCUGUGAAUUAAGAUUUUGGGAGAAAAUACAUUUUAUAUGGGUGAAAUAUGUUAAAUGUAACUGAAA